rnacentral:tRNA from 1 species
AACCCUUUGGCGUAGUGGUUAAAUGCUAUGGCUGCUAACCAAAGGGUCGGCAGUUUGAAUCUGCCAGGUGCUC